rnacentral:rRNA from 1 species
AGAACGAACGCUGGCGGCAUGCCUAAUACAUGCAAGUCGAACGAACACUUCGGUGUUAGUGGCGCACGGGUGCGUAACGCGUGGGAAUCUGCCCUUGGGUUCGGAAUAACAGUUGGAAACGACUGCUAAUACCGGAUGAUAUCGAAAGAUCAAAGAUUUAUCGCCCAGGGAUGAGCCCGCGUAGGAUUAGCUAGUUGGUGAGGUAAAGGCUCACCAAGGCGACGAUCCUUAGCUGGUCUGAGAGGAUGAUCAGUCACACUGGAACUGAGACACGGUCCAGACUCCUACGGGAGCAGCAGUGGGGAAUAUUGGACAAUGGGCGAAAGCCUGAUCCAGCCAUGCCGCGUGUGUGAAGAAGGUCUCGGAUUGAAAGCACUUUAAGUGGAGGAAGGUUGUAACCUAUACGUGCUAACUUUGACGUUACGACAGAAUAAGCAACGGCUAACUUCGUGCCAGCAGCCGC